AACGCGAAGAACCUUACCAGGGUUUGACAUCCUACUAACGAAGCAGAGAUGCAUUAGGUGCCCUUCGGGGAAAGUAGAGACAGGUGGUGCAUGGUUGUCGUCAGCUCGUGUCGUGAGAUGUUGGGUUAAGUCCCGCAACGAGCGCAACCCUUAUUGUUAGUUGCUACGCAAGAGCACUCUAGCGAGACUGCCGUUGACAAAACGGAGGAAGGUGGGGACGACGUCAAAUCAUCAUGCCCCUUAUGCCCUGGGCUACACACGUAAUACAAUGGCGUUUAACAGAGGGAAGCAAACCCGCGAGGGGGAGCAAAUCCCCAAAAGGCGCCUCAGUUCGGAUUGCAGGCUGCAACCCGCCUGCAUGAAGUCGGAAUUGCUAGUAAUCGCGGAUCAGCAUGCCGCGGUGAAUACGUUCCCGGGUCUUGUACACACCG
rnacentral:rRNA from 1 species